rnacentral:rRNA from 1 species
AUGCCAACUGGAGAUAAAGCGGUCAAACCAACCCGCCCGAACACCAAAGCCGUAAAAUGGACAUCAAAGCGGAAAACGGCUGACCGGAUCACUAUGGAACUUGAUGAUGAUACUGAUGACCCAGAAGUUGAGGUAGAACUUGACUCACUUGGCUCUCUUUUUAUGCAUCUUGUUAACAAUGAUCUACCUCAGGAGGAGGCAGAAGCUAGUCAGGCUGAGGACGUAGAGGUAAUUACCCUUUCCUCCGGUUCAGACUCUAUGCCAACACAAAAAACUUGCCAAACAAUUCGGAAAGUAAGAUUUUCUCAUCCUCUUGCUCACUUGGAUCCAACAUUUAUUUUGAAGACUCAACAGCAUGAAGCUCGCCGAACAACCCGCACAGUGGCCAACAGGUCACCUCUACCGGUUUACCUGAUACCCCGGUUCGGAAGCGCCGGUCUGAGGUCUCUCCUACUUCUGACCAUUCUUACCCAAGGCAGGUUAUUUCAGACAGACUCUUAA